UAAACGACUCUCGGCAACGGAUAUCUCGGCUCUCGCAUCGAUGAAGAACGUAAGCGAAAUGCGAUACUUGGUGUGAAUUGCAGAAUCCCGUGAACCAUCGAGUCUUUGAACGCAAGUUGCGCCCGAAGCCAUUAGGUUGAGGGCACGUCUGCCUGGGCGUCUCACG
rnacentral:rRNA from 1 species